AUUGAACGCUGGCGGCAGGCCUAACACAUGCAAGUCGAACGGUAACAGGAAACAGCUUGCUGUUUCGCUGACGAGUGGCGGACGGGUGAGUAAUGUCUGGGAAACUGCCUGAUGGAGGGGGAUAACUACUGGAAACGGUAGCUAAUACCGCAUAACGUCGCAAGACCAAAGAGGGGGACCUUCGGGCCUCUUGCCAUCGGAUGUGCCCAGAUGGGAUUAGCUAGUAGGUGGGGUAACGGCUCACCUAGGCGACGAUCCCUAGCUGGUCUGAGUGGAUGACCAGCCACACUGGAACUGAGACACGGUCCAGACUCCUACGGGAGGCAGCAGUGGGGAAUAUUGCACAAUGGGCGCAAGCCUGAUGCAGCCAUGCCGCGUGUAUGAAGAAGGCCUUCGGGUUGUAAAGUACUUUCAGCGGGGAGGAAGGGAGUAAAGUUAAUACCUUUACUCAUUGACGUUACCCGCAGAAGAAGCACCGGCUAACUCCGUG
rnacentral:rRNA from 1 species